rnacentral:rRNA from 1 species
GCAACCCUUACCUUUAGUUGCCAGCAUUAAGUUGGGCACUCUAGAGAGAAAGAAGAAGAAUAACUCGGAGGAAGGUGGGGAUGACGUCAAAUCAUCAUGCCCCUUAUGCUUAGGGCUACACACGUGCUACAAUGGGUGGUACAGAGGGUUGCCAGACCGUGAGGUGGAGCUAAUCCCUUAAAGCCAUUCUCAGUUCGGAUUGUAGGCUGAAACUCGCCUACAUGAAGCUGGAGUUACUAGUAAUCGCAGAUCAGAAUGCUGCGGUGAAUGCGUUCCCGGGUCUUGUACACACCGCCCGUCACACCAUGGGAGUUGGGGGCGCCCGAAGCCGGUUAGCUAACCUUUUAGGAGGCAACCGUCGAAGGUGAAACCAAUGACUGGGGUGAAGUCGUAACAAGGUAGCCGUA